GACGAACGCUGGCGGCGUGCUUAACACAUGCAAGUCGAACGAAGUGGCGAACGGGUGAGUAACGCGUAAUCAACCUCCCAUUCAGAGGGGGACGACCGUUGGAAACGACUGCUAAUACCGCAUACUGAAGGAGGGGCUUCCGUCUGAUUAGCUGGUUGGUGAGGUAACGGCCCACCAAGGCGAUGAUCAGUAGCCGGUCGUAUGGGGGGAGCCGCAACAGCGGGACGGAAGGACGGCCCAGGCUCCUUCGGGAGGGAGCAGGUGGGAAUCUUCCCGAAAGGACGAAAGGCUGAAGGGGCAACGCCGCGGGAGUGAUGACGGCCUUCGGGUUGUAAAGCUCUGGUAAUCGGGACACGGUACCGGAAUAGAAAGCCACGGCUAACUACGUGCCAGCAGCCGCGGUAAUAC
rnacentral:rRNA from 1 species